UUCUCCGUCAACUCCA
rnacentral:sRNA from 1 species